CAGUCGCCGCGGGAAUACGUAGGGUGCAAGCGUUAAUCGGAAUUACUGGGCGUAAAGCGUGCGCAGGCGGUUUGUUAAGACAGAUGUGAAAUCCCCGGGCUCAACCUGGGAACUGCAUUUGUGACUGGCAAGCUAGAGUGUGGCAGAGGGGGGUGGAAUUCCGCGUGUAGCAGUGAAAUGCGUAGAUAUGCGGAGGAACACCGAUGGCGAAGGCAGCCCCCUGGGCCAACACUGACGCUCAUGCACGAAAGCGUGGGGAGCAAACAGGAUUAGAUACCCGAGUAGUCCCUGUCUCUUAUAC
rnacentral:rRNA from 1 species